GAGGGAUGCCAAUAUUCUGUUAGACCAGGUUGUUACGGCUGCGGUCCUGCCUUUGUGGCUUUGGGAAGGUAUUCUGCAAGUUGGCGUUUGAAGAUCUGUUUGUACAAGGUCAAACCAGUUCCUCAUCUGCGUGCUGUUAGCAUGGCUC